GACUCCUACGGGAGGCAGCAGUGAGGAAUAUUGGUCAAUGGACGGAAGUCUGAACCAGCCAAGUAGCGUGCAGGAUGACGGCCCUAUGGGUUGUAAACUGCUUUUGUAUGGGGAUAAAGUUAGGGACGUGUCCCUAUUUGCAGGUACCAUACGAAUAAGGACCGGCUAAUUCCGCGCCAGCAGCCGCGGUAAUACGGAAGGUCCAGGCGUUAUCCGGAUUUAUUGGGUUUAAAGGGAGCGUAGGCUGGAGAUUAAGUGUGUUGUGAAAUGUAGACGCUCAACGUCUGAAUUGCAGCGCAUACUGGUUUCCUUGAGUACGCACAACGUUGGCGGAAUUCGUCGUGUAGCGGUGAAAUGCUUAGAUAUGACGAAGAACUCCGAUUGCGAAGGCAGCUGACGGGAGCGCAACUGACGCUUAAGCUCGAAGGUGCGGGUAUCAAACAGGAUUAGAUACCCUGGUAGUCCGCACAGUAAACGAUGGAUGCCCGCUGUUGGUACCUGGUAUCAGCGGCUAAGCGAAAGCAUUAAGCAUCCCACCUGGGGAGUACGCCGGCAACGGUGAAACUCAAAGGAAUUGACGGA
rnacentral:rRNA from 1 species